rnacentral:rRNA from 1 species
AACAGGAUUAGAUACCCUGGUAGUCCACGCUGUAAACGAUGUCGACUUGGAGGUUGUUCCCUUGAGGAGUGGCUUCCGGAGCUAACGCGUUAAGUCGACCGCCUGGGGAGUACGGCCGCAAGGUUAAAACUCAAAUGAAUUGACGGGGGCCCGCACAAGCGGUGGAGCAUGUGGUUUAAUUCGAUGCAACGCGAAGAACCUUACCUACUCUUGUCAUCCAGAGAACUUAGCAGAGAUGCUUUGGUGCCUUCGGGAACUCUGAGACAGGUGCUGCAUGGCUGUCGUCAGCUCGUGUUGUGAAAUGUUGGGUUAAGUCCCGCAACGAGCGCAACCCUUAUCCUUUGUUGCCAGCGAUUCGGUCGGGAACUCAAAGGAGACUGCCAGUGAUAAACUGGAGGAAGGUGGGGAUGACGUCAAGUCAUCAUGGCCCUUACGAGUAGGGCUACACACGUGCUACAAUGGCAUAUACAAAGAGAAGCGACCUCGCGAGAGCAAGCGGACCUCAUAAAGUAUGUCGUAGUCCGGAUUGGAGUCUGCAACUCGACUCCAUGAAGUCGGAAUCGCUAGUAAUCGUGGAUCAGAAUGCCACGGUGAAUACGUUCCCGGGCCUUGUACACACCGCCCGUCACACCAUGGGAGUGGGUUGCAAAAGAAGUAGGUAGCUUAACCUUCGGGAGGGCGCUUACCACUUUGUGAUUCAUGACUGGGGUGAAGUCGUAACAAGGUAACC